UGGGGAAUUUUCCGCAAUGGGCGAAAGCCUGACGGAGCAAUACCGCGUGAGGGAUGACGGCCUAUGGGUUGUAAACCUCUUUUUUCAGGGAGGAAUCAAUGACGUGUACCUGAAGAAUAAGCAUCGGCUAACUCCGUGCCAGCAGCCGCGGUAAGACGGAGGAUGCAAGUGUUAUCCGGAAUCACUGGGCGUAAAGCGUCUGUAGGUGGUUUAAUAAGUCAACUGUUAAAUCUUGAGGCUCAACUUCAAAAUCGCAGUCGAAACUAUUAGACUAGAGUAUAGUAGGGGUAAAGGGAAUUUCCAGUGGAGCGGUGAAAUGCGUAGAGAUUGGAAAGAACACCGAUGGCGAAGGCACUUUACUGGGCUAUUACUAACACUCAGAGACGAAAGCUAGGGUAGCAAAUGGGAUUAGAUACCCCCGUAGUCC
rnacentral:rRNA from 1 species